rnacentral:misc_RNA from 1 species
AAGUCGUAACAAGGUUUCCGUAGGUGAACCUGCGGAAGGAUCAUUACCAAAAAGGCGAGAAAUCGCUUUCAACCCGCUAGGUGGCCCUCCUGGGCCGCCGAACCGGCCAACCCUUUGUGAACCAAAAAAACCUUUCGCUUCGGCAGCCAGGCCUGACCGCCUGUCAGCCUGCCGCUAGCACCAACCUUUAAACCUCUUGUCAAAACAUUGUCUGAUAACCAAAAUUUUCGAAUGAAAAUCAAAACUUUCAACAACGGAUCUCUUGGUUCCC